CAGCCAACUGAUCUUUGACAAAGCAAACAAAAACAUAAAGUGGGGAAAGGAUACCCUAUUCAAUAAAUGGUGCUGGGAUAAUUGGCAAGCCACAUGUAGAAGUCUUUCUGCUUCAAUAUCUUUUUUUCUCUGUGUUCUGGAUUUCUGUUUCUCAGUCUGAGUGGUAAGAUAUCACCAACAAAAGCUCCCAAAUGUAUAUAUAUAUGUUCAGUUUCCACCAUCCUGCGAGAGACCACAGUUCCAUUUCUAAAAUCCUAGGACAGGGUUCUGAUUGGCCCACAUUGGGUCAGCUGCUUCAGCUUGGACCAAUCAUCUGUUAUAUUUACUAAGACCAUGCUAUCCACCUAACAAUGUGGAUGGAGGUGGUUAGAGGCAGGGAGCCGUUCCCAGAAAU
rnacentral:lncRNA from 1 species